GAAUAAUUUAGAAGAUAAUAAGAAAGAUUUAUUUUGGGAGAAAUAUUUUAGUUAAAUGUGAAAUAGAAACUGAAACGGCAAAAACCAAAGCCACAAAUCCAAGAGGCCAAGAGGCUCUUCUCACUGGCAGAAAAAGAAAAUUCAAACAAGUUGACCGACAAUUUAAUUCCGAGUUCGUCUCUGACUCUGAUUCGACUUACUUUUAUUUAAUUUGGUUAAAAAAAUUCUAAGUAGAAUGCAGUGAGAACGCGGACUGAAUCCGAAACGUCAGCCAGUUGUCACAUUUCGGUAAUAAUUUCGGUAAAAACUGUUGAAUGAAUUCGUCAACAUAAAAAUUAAGUGAAAGCACCUCAAAAGUUGGUAGACACCACCGACGCAGUUAAAAGCCACACAAUUAAAACCAAAAAAAAAAAAUAAAA